GAGAGAGUGAUUGAUUAGUCAGAGCUGUCAGACUAUCAGUCGAGUGGAACUCGCAAAUCUCCGGUCGCUGUGUGUGUGUGUCUUAUCCGGAGUUUGCAGGCCUUUCUUUGUGAUCCGUGGUGGAUAAUGGUCAUUCCUGCUGCUCCGGCAAACAGUGGAUCAGGAGAGCAUUUCCAGGUCUGUUGAAUCAUUUUCAGCCACCAGCUGUUUGCACAGUACGGCUCUCUA